AGUAAGCAAACAGAGAAAUAAAGACAAAGCCGAAAGAGAGUUUGAGAAAAUGAGAAAGAAAGACAGAAAGAGUUUGAGAACAGUGAGCCGAGACAGAGAAGAGAGAAAUUAGAAAAUUAAAGAGUGAGCAGAAAGAUUGAGGAGAAAACAGAGAGAGCCGAGAGUUGCAGAGGAGGCCGGAGCUUGAGGCUUUGAUGAUUUAGUGAGGAAAUUUUUUUUUCAGUGUACUGAAGAUGAACGGGGAUUGCUAGAUACGAGCUUAGGAUGAAGAGUCGGCGUUGCAGGAUUUAUUUUAUUUAUUUUGGAGAUAUUUUUUGUAUUUGAGGAAAUUGACUUUGUAUAAAAGAGAGUAUUUUUUUAUGAUCCUGUGUGUAUUUUGAUGUAUCUAGAUUUGUAUAAAUUGAGGAUUUUAGUGAAAAAUUCAGGGUUGUGACA